rnacentral:rRNA from 1 species
GAUGAACGCUGGCGGCGUGCCUAAUACAUGCAAGUCGAGCGAACAGAUGAGGAGCUUGCUCCUCUGACGUUAGCGGCGGACGGGUGAGUAACACGUGGAUAACCUACCUAUAAGACUGGGAUAACUUCGGGAAACCGGAGCUAAUACCGGAUAAUAUAUUGAACCGCAUGGUUCAAUAGUGAAAGACGGUUUUGCUGUCACUUAUAGAUGGAUCCGCGCCGCAUUAGCUAGUUGGUAAGGUAACGGCUUACCAAGGCGACGAUGCGUAGCCGACCUGAGAGGGUGGACGGCAACAAUGGAAGUGAGACACGGUAUGGACGACUAAGGGAGGCAGCAGUGGGGAAUAGUGGACAAUGGGCGAAAGCUUGAAAGAGAAAUAAAGAGUGAGGGAAGAAGGGAGUAGGAUUGUAAAACCCUUUUGAUGGGAAAGAAAAGAAGAGGGAGAAAAAACCGCUGUUCUGACGGUACAGAAAGAAUAAGAAACGGCUAACUUCGUG